rfam:Desulfobacula sp. RIFOXYB2_FTLL_45_6 rifoxyb2_full_scaffold_12846, whole genome shotgun sequence.
GCGCCCGUAGCUCAGCUGGAUAGAGCGUCGGACUUCGAAUCCGUAGGCCGGGGGUUCGAAUCCCUCCGGGCGCG